UACGGGGGGGGCAAGCGUUGUUCGGAAUUACUGGGCGUAAAGGGCGCGUAGGCGGUUCGCUAAGUUGAAUGUGAAAACUCUGGGCUUAACCCAGAGCCUGCAUUCAAUACUGGCGGGCUAGAGUUCUGGAGGGGAUAGCGGAAUUCCUGGUGUAGCGGUGAAAUGCGUAGAUAUCAGGAGGAACACCGGUGGCGAAGGCGGCUAUCUGGACAGAGUCUGACGCUGAGGCGCGAAAGCUAGGGGAGCAAACGGG
rnacentral:rRNA from 1 species